AAUUUUACUGAAAUCAGUAUGACUCAAAUUUUUUUAUUUUACUUUAAUGAGCUAUCUUCUUCUAUCCCGACUUCAUAAAAAAAGAUUGUACAUCCAUGAAGCUGAUUUGCAAUGGCUACUUCAAAUAGUUCAAGAACUUUCUGACAGUGCUGGAUGACAUUUCUAUCUGCCUCAAUCACCUGGACACGACUCUAAAGCUGUAUUUGGACUUUCUGGCAGUCCUAAUUGACGUUGCUGGCUGCUUGAACUACUUUGAGACGAUCCAGAAGCUGGAUUUAUUUUGUCUGGGAGUAUAACUUUUAAUUUGAAACGCUGCGUGUACGUUAUAGGCUCUUCAAUUAGUUGUACGAGCAAUGCUGCAUAUGUUGACACCGUAGUCUACUGCGUGCUUCAAAAUAUAAAUAAGCAUUUUGGUGUUGUUGGUAUCUGAGCUACAUUAAUAUCUUGAUGAAGAAAAGACUCAGCUGUACUGCUCUAUCAAUAGAUCAGUGUUUUUAUCAGGUGAGAUCAUGAUCAAUACCAUGGUUUACUGGAUGCAGAUAAGAGUAUGGUGACCAGACAUAUGCCUAAACAUUGAUAACACUAGAGCUUGGUUGCGGUCAGCUUCAGGUAAAACAAGCAAUUGAAGCAAGGACUAACAUUUUCAAGAGCAUGUUAUUACUUUUGGAAUGAAAUAGAAGAUUUUUAUCAA